rnacentral:tRNA from 1 species
GGUAUAGCCAAGUGGUAAGGCAACGGACUUUGACUCCGUCAUUCCGCUGGUUCGAAUCCAGCUAUCC